AAGAGAGGUUUAGAACAUAAAGAACUGCUAAUUCUUUACUACCGUUGUUCAAAUCCACGGCUCACUUA
rnacentral:tRNA from 1 species